ACACUGAAACCGACCUCCCCUGCGCCCCCAAUAUAGACCGAACCAGAUCGGCGGAGCGCCCCCAAUUCCUCACUUCCUGCUUCCGCCCCUCCCCCAUCUCCCCUCCUCCACUCGCGAGCGGCGGUGAGCCGACACACCCACCCCAUCCCCGAGCGCCGCUAGGGUUGCGGCUCGCUCCGGCGAUGGAGGACGACGAAUAUGAGGAGGGGAUGGAGAUGGAUAUGGGAGGGCACCAGCACCUCCAGCACCGGGGGUACGGAGCCGAGGAGGAGGUCGAGGGGGGAUACGCCGGCGGCGGGGACGGGGAGGAUGAGGAGGAGGAGGCGCGGGACGAGGAGGAGAUUACCCAGGAGGACGCCUGGGCCGUCAUCUCCGCCUACUUCGAGGAGAAGGGCCUCGUGCGCCAGCAGCUCGACUCCUUCGACGAGUUCAUCCAGAACACCAUGCAGGAGAUCGUCGACGAGUCGGCCGACAUCGAGAUCCGCCCCGAGUCGCAGCACAACCCCGGCCGCCAGGCCGAGUUCGCCGAGACACUCCACAAGAUCAGCUUUGGUCAAAUCUAUCUGAGCAAACCAAUGAUGACUGAAGCUGACGGAGAGACUGCUACCUUAUUCCCCAAAUCAGCAAGGCUCAGGAAUCUGACAUACUCAGCACCACUUUAUGUAGAUGUAUCAUACAGAGUUGUAAAGAAAGGACAUGACUGUGAAGAGGUUACAGAAACUGCGGAGUAUCCGAAAGUCUUCAUUGGAAAGGUUCCAAUCAUGUUGCGUUCUAGUUACUGCACACUGUUUCAACAAUCUGAAAAGGAUCUCACAGAACUUGGAGAGUGCCCUUAUGACCAAGGAGGAUAUUUUGUAAUCAAUGGUAGUGAAAAGGUUCUCAUUGCCCAGGAGAAGAUGAGCACCAACCAUGUCUAUGUGUUUAAGAAGAGGCAACCAAAUAAGUUUGCAUAUGUGGGUGAAGUCCGUUCAAUGGCAGAGAACCAGAACAGACCUGCUAGUAGCAUGUUUGUUCGGAUGCUUUCCCGAGCAGGCGCGAAAGGGGGUUCAUCUGGUCAAUAUAUCCGUGCUACUCUGCCCUACAUUCGUGCAGAUAUUCCCAUCAUCAUUGUGUUUAGAGCACUAGGAUUUGUUGCUGACAAAGAUAUACUGGAGCACAUAUGCUACGAUUUCUCCGAUACACAAAUGAUGGAAUUGCUGCGCCCAUCUUUGGAGGAAGCUUUUGUCAUUCAAAAUCAGCAGGUUGCUCUGGACUACAUUGGAAAGCGUGGUGCUACAGUUGGUGUAACUCGAGAAAAAAGAAUAAAGUAUGCAAAAGAGAUACUUCAAAAGGAAAUGCUGCCCCAUGUUGGUGUAGGCGAAUUCUGUGAAACUAAAAAGGCAUACUACUUUGGGUAUAUUAUUCACCGCCUGUUGAUGUGCGCUCUUGGUCGAAGAGCUGAAGAUGACAGAGAUCAUUACGGCAACAAAAGGCUUGACCUUGCAGGUCCAUUGCUUGGAGGACUGUUCAGAAUGCUUUUCAGGAAAUUGACGAGGGAUGUGAGGUCAUAUGUUCAGAAGUGUGUCGAUAAUGGGAAGGAAGUCAAUUUGCAAUUUGCUAUUAAAGCUAAAACCAUUACUAGUGGAUUGAAGUAUUCCCUUGCUACUGGAAACUGGGGACAGGCUAACCAAGCUGGCACAAGAGCCGGUGUGUCUCAGGUGCUUAAUCGUCUUACGUAUGCUUCUACAUUAUCACAUCUUCGGAGGUUGAACUCUCCCAUUGGGCGUGAAGGGAAACUGGCAAAACCCCGCCAAUUGCAUAAUUCUCAUUGGGGAAUGAUGUGCCCUGCUGAAACACCUGAAGGACAGGCUUGUGGCUUGGUUAAAAAUCUUGCCUUGAUGGUUUAUAUCACUGUUGGUUCUGCCGCAAAUCCUAUUUUGGAAUUUUUGGAAGAGUGGGGCACAGAAAAUUUUGAGGAGAUAUCACCGGCAGUCAUUCCUCAAGCUGCUAAAAUAUUUGUCAAUGGUUGUUGGGUUGGAAUUCAUAGGAAUCCUGACCUAUUGGUGAAGACCCUUCGUCGUUUAAGAAGACAGAUUGAUGUCAACACUGAAGUUGGUGUUGUUCGUGAUAUUCGUCUUAAAGAACUUCGACUCUAUACUGAUUAUGGGCGUUGCAGUCGCCCGCUGUUUAUCGUUGAAAACCAGAGGCUUCUAAUUAAGAAGAAACAUAUCCGAGCAUUGCAGCAAAGGGAGACUCCUGAUGAGGGUUGGCAUGACUUGGUUGCCAAAGGAUUUAUAGAGUACAUAGACACUGAAGAGGAAGAAACUACUAUGAUCUCUAUGACUAUACGUGACCUUGAAACUUCGAGGCAUAAUCCAGGGGAGGCAUAUUCUGAGACUUAUACGCACUGUGAGAUCCAUCCUUCAUUGAUACUUGGUGUGUGCGCAUCAAUUAUUCCUUUUCCUGAUCACAACCAGUCACCUCGUAAUACAUAUCAGUCUGCUAUGGGAAAGCAAGCCAUGGGAAUCUAUGUUACCAACUAUCAGUUAAGAAUGGACACAUUGGCCUACGUUCUGUACUACCCACAAAAGCCUCUUGUUACUACUCGUGCUAUGGAGCAUUUGCACUUCAGGCAGUUACCAGCUGGCAUUAAUGCAAUUGUUGCUAUUGCAUGCUACUCUGGAUAUAACCAAGAAGAUUCGGUUAUUAUGAACCAAUCUUCAAUAGAUCGUGGGUUCUUCAGAUCACUAUUUUUCCGCUCUUACAGAGAUGAGGAAAAGAAGAUGGGAACUCUUGUCAAAGAGGAAUUUGGUCGUCCAAAUAGGGAGAACACUAUGGGAAUGCGCCAUGGGUCUUAUGAUAAAUUAGAUGAUGAUGGCCUUGCACCACCGGGAACAAGGGUCUCUGGGGAAGAUGUCAUUAUUGGGAAGACAUCUCCAAUUCCACAAGAUGAUGCUCAAGGGCAAGCUACUAGAUACUCAAAGCGUGAUCAUAGUACUUCUCUGCGUCACAGUGAAAGUGGGAUGGUGGAUCAGGUUCUGUUGACAACGAAUGCUGAUGGUUUAAGAUUUGUCAAGGUUAGAAUGCGAUCAGUGCGCAUACCACAAAUAGGAGAUAAGUUCAGCAGUAGGCAUGGUCAGAAGGGAACUGUUGGAAUGACUUACACACAAGAGGACAUGCCAUGGACAAUCGAAGGCAUCACACCGGAUAUCAUUGUGAAUCCACAUGCUAUUCCAUCCCGUAUGACUAUUGGCCAGCUGAUUGAGUGUAUUAUGGGUAAAGUUGCGGCUCACAUGGGAAAGGAAGGAGAUGCAACUCCUUUCACUGAUGUUACUGUGGAUAAUAUCAGUAAAGCACUGCACAAGUGUGGCUAUCAGAUGCGUGGAUUUGAGACCAUGUACAAUGGUCAUACUGGGAGAAAAUUGACUGCAAUGAUUUUCUUAGGUCCAACUUACUACCAGAGACUUAAGCAUAUGGUGGAUGACAAAAUUCACUCUAGAGGUCGUGGUCCUGUCCAGAUACUGACCAGACAGCCAGCAGAGGGGCGCUCACGUGAUGGUGGUCUCCGUUUUGGAGAAAUGGAGAGGGAUUGCAUGAUUGCUCAUGGAGCUGCAUUUUUCUUGAAGGAAAGGUUAUUUGACCAGAGCGAUGCUUACAGAGUGCAUGUUUGUGAGAAGUGUGGACUCAUUGCCAUUGCCAAUCUCAAGAAGAAUUCCUUCGAAUGCAGAGGCUGCAAGAACAAAACUGACAUUGUCCAGGUCCAUAUACCGUACGCAUGUAAGCUCCUCUUCCAGGAGCUCAUGGCGAUGGCGAUUGCUCCCAGGAUGCUCACCCAUGAGGUCAAGGGUGCGAGGGAUAAGCACCGUUGAGCUUGAGUGUUGUAUUCGGGUGCCUGACUGGAACUGUUUUCCGGGGUACCUUGUUGCGGAACUUAAGAAUGAGUAUAGCUCUUCUGAUAUGGAUUUUGGUUCUGAUGGCUAGGCAUUUUGAAGAGCGAUCAUCCUUCUGAUUGUGUCCUGGAUACCGUCAGAUACCAGACCCAGACAUGAAGUUACUUAGGUUCUUUAUUACAUUAGUAUUCAUUUACUAACAGGACUAAUAAUGUGUUGUAACAUCAUCUUUUGACAGUCUUGGCUUUUAAGAGCUCAACUCGAACGAUGUUUGUAUGAAGACAGUUGCAUGAAUUUCUGGGAAACCAAGGAAACCCUGGAACGCAUUUAAUUUAGAUUUUAGAAAUUUUAAUAAGGAAUCAAUGUGCAACUAUAUGAUAGUUGAUGUGCAACUUUUUCCUACUUGUGGACGUGCAAUUUUUACUCAUGCGAACAGAUGUGGAUGCAUUUAAUUCAGGUUUUUGUUUUUCAAAAAAAAAAUCAUAACUUUUGAGUUGAAUAUCGGAGUUAAGAUCCGCUUUCACCGUUGGAACUAAGCCUGGGAAUAGUUUGAACUGAAACUUAGUUUUUGGAUUGGCUUUUGAUUUGGUUUCUAUAGGUUUGGUCUCUAUUGGAUUGAGAUGGAAACCCGUUCUGUUUGGUUUGGGUUGUGCCUGAAAAUGAACUGGAUAGGUUUGGCUUGGAUUCAGAUUUCUUAGUCCAAAACAAGUGCAAACCAUGGUUUGAGACCAAAUCAAGCGAUUAGUCUGAGCCGCGCGCCGCUUUCACCUCCAGCCAAAUUUUCGAGACGCGAUCGAACUUUGUUGUUGCUGCCCACAUGGCCACACGCACUGCAAGACAGUUCACGUAUGUACGUAUUCUACGCGGCGACAACAAAGUAGUGGCGACAAAAUCGAUCAAUCCAACAGCAGCUGCUGCUGGCCGGAGACCGUCGGCUGUCACGAGCUUUGACUAUAGUUUGACUAGAUUCAUGGUGUGCCCUGUCAUGAAUUUGUCCACGGUUUGAAUCUGUGGGUUCAAUCCAAAAGUUGGAAAUGGUUUGGACUGUGUUGGACGGAGAGCAUGUAUAGUUUGGUUUGGUUUAGAUUCUAGAUGAAAAUAUCUGGGUUGGUUUGGUUUGGAUGCGUGCCGUGUAUUUCUAUGGACUGGACUGGUUUUAGUUUGGAUAUCAAACUAUUCCCAGGUUUAGUUGGAAUCCACACAACAUGUUCUUCAAAACUAAAUCCCGC
rnacentral:rRNA from 1 species